rnacentral:rRNA from 1 species
AUACGUAGGGAGCGAGCGUUGUCCGGAAUUACUGGGUGUAAAGGGAGCGUAGGCGGGAGUGCAAGUCAGAUGUGAAAUACAUGGGCUCAACCCAUGGGCUGCAUUUGAAACUGCAUUUCUUGAGUGAAGUAGAGGUAAGCGGAAUUCCUGGUGUAGCGGUGAAAUGCGUAGAUAUCAGGAGGAACACCGGUGGCGAAGGCGGCUUGCUGGGCUUUUACUGACGCUGAGGCUCGAAAGCGUGGGGAGCAAACAGGAUUAGAUACCCUGGUAGUCCACGCUGUAAACGAUGAUUACUAGGUGUGGGGGGACUGACCCCUUCCGUGCCGCAGUUAACACAAUAAGUAAUCCACCUGGGGAGUACGGCCGCAAGGUUGAAACUCAAAUGAAUUGACGGGG